GACGAACGCUGGCGGCGUGCUUAACACAUGCAAGUCGAACGGAAAGGCCCUGCUUUUGUGGGGUGCUCGAGUGGCGAACGGGUGAGUAACACGUGAGUAACCUGCCCUUGACUUUGGGAUAACUUCAGGAAACUGGGGCUAAUACCGGAUAGGAGCUCCUGCUGCAUGGUGGGGGUUGGAAAGUUUCGGCGGGUGGGGAUGGACGCGCGGCUUAUCAGCUUGUUGGUGGGGUAGGAGCCUAACAAGGCUUUGACGGGUAGCCGGCCUGAGAGGGUGACCGGGCAGAGUGGAACUGAGGAACGGGCCAAACUCCUCCGGGAGGCAGCGGUGGGGAAUAGGGCGCAAGGGAGGUAAAGCGGAUGCAGCGACGCCGCGUGAACGAAGAAGGCGUUCGAGUCGUAAAGGUCUGGGAGAUGGGAAGACAAGGACGGUACCAUAAGAAAAAGCCCCGGCUAACUACGUG
rnacentral:rRNA from 1 species